GACGAACGCUGGCGGCGUGCUUAACACAUGCAAGUCACGGGGGCUCGCAAGAGCAACCGGCGAACGGGUGCGUAACACGUGAGCAACCUACCGAUUUGAGGGGGAUAGCUGGCCUAACGGCCAGGUAAUACCGCAUACGCUUGUAAGGCCUCCUGGUCUAACAAGGAAACCUCCGGGGCAGAUCGAGGGGCUCGCGGCCUAUCAGCUAGUUGGCGAGGUCACGGCUCACCAAGGCGACGACGGGUAGCUGGUCUGAGAGGAUGGCCAGCCACAUUGGGACUGAGAAACGGCCCAGACUCCUACGGGAGGCAGCAGUGGGGAAUCUUGCGCAAUGGACGAAAGUCUGACGCAGCGACGCCGCGUGGGGAUGAAGG
rnacentral:rRNA from 1 species